rnacentral:tRNA from 1 species
AUUUUUCUAGUAUAAUAAGUACACCUAACUUCCAAUUAGUAAGUUUGAAAUCUCAAGAAAAAUA